rnacentral:rRNA from 1 species
UGGGGAAUAUUGCACAAUGGGCGCAAGCCUGAUGCAGCAACGCCGCGUGAGGGACGACGGCCUUCGGGUUGUAAACCUCUUUUAGUAGGGAAGAAGCGAAAGUGACGGUACCUGCAGAAAAAGCACCGGCUAACUACGUGCCAGCAGCCGCGGUAAUACGUAGGGUGCGAGCGUUGUCCGGAAUUAUUGGGGCGUAAAGAGCUCGUAGGCGGUCUGUCGCGUCUGCUGUGAAAACCCGAGGCUCAACCUCGGGCCUGCAGUGGGUACGGGCAGACUAGAGUGCGGUAGGGGAGAAUGGAAUUCCUGGUGUAGCGGUGGAAUGCGCAGAUAUCAGGAGGAACACCGAUGGCGAAGGCAGUUCUCUGGGCCGUAACUGACGCUGA